rnacentral:rRNA from 1 species
UACCAGCACCCCGAGUGGUCGGGACGUUUAUUGGGCCUAAAGCAUCCGUAGCCGGUUCUACAAGUCUUCCGUUAAAUCCAGCUGCUUAACAGACGGGCUGCGGAAGAUACUAUGGAGCUAGGAGGCGGGAGAGGCAAGCGGUACUCGAUGGGUAGGGGUAAAAUCCGUUGAUCCAUUGAAGACCACCAGUGGCGAAGGCGGCUUGCCAGAACGCGCUCGACGGUGAGGGAUGAAAGCUGGGGGAGCAAACCGG